CAGUCGCCGCGGUAAUACGAAGGGUGCAAGCGUUACUCGGAAUUACUGGGCGUAAAGCGUGCGUAGGUGGUGGUUUAAGUCCGUUGUGAAAGCCCUGGGCUCAACCUGGGAAUUGCAGUGGAUACUGGGUCACUAGAGUGUGGUAGAGGAUAGUGGAAUUUCCGGUGUAGCAGUGAAAUGCGUAGAGAUCGGAAGGAACAUCUGUGGCGAAGGCGACUAUCUGGGCCAACACUGACACUGAGGCACGAAAGCGUGGGGAGCAAACAGGAUUAGAUACCCGCGUAUCCCUGUCUCUUAUACA
rnacentral:rRNA from 1 species